rnacentral:rRNA from 1 species
AGAGUUUGAUCAUGGCUCAGAACGAACGCUGGCGGCAGGCCUAACACAUGCAAGUCGAACGAGAAGCCACCUUCGGGUGGUGGACAGUGGCAGACGGGUGAGUAACGCGUGGGAACGUGCCUUUCGGUUCGGAAUAACCCAGGGAAACUUGGGCUAAUACCGGAUACGCCCUUCGGGGGAAAGAUUCAUUGCCGAAAGAUCGGCCCGCGUCGGAUUAGCUAGUUGGUGGGGUAAUGGCUCACCAAGGCGACGAUCCGUAGCUGGUCUGAGAGGAUGACCAGCCACACUGGGACUGAGACACGGCCCAGACUCCUACGGGAGGCAGCAGUGGGGAAUAUUGGACAAUGGGCGAAAGCCUGAUCCAGCCAUGCCGCGUGGGUGAAGAAGGCCUUAGGGUUGUAAACCCCUUUCAGCGGGGAAGAUAAUGACGGUACCCGCAGAAGAAGUCCCGGCUAACUCCGUGCCAGCAGCCGCGGUAAUAC